UUGAAUGUUCAAUAUUUAAUUGUGUGAAGGCACUGAAUCGGUAUGUGUUCAUUUCUCAAUAAUGCACUUCAAGCUGUCAAUAAUGACGAAUUCAAAGUAAAAUGUUGAUGUUUCAAUGUGAACAAGUUAUUAUCGGUGAGGAGGUAGUAUUAUCAGUACGCUUUCCAUUUUAAUAGGCUUCUCAGACAUUCUCAAUGAAAUGAACUAUCACCUAAAAAAAUAUAUUUGAUGUACGAGAUGCUUCAAUUGUUAGGAGCUUAUUUGGUGCCUACGAUGGAUGCCAUUACUAGACAAAUAACACAACCAAAUAUAGAAUUGAAGAUUCUCAGGGAUGAUUCCUGUUUGUUGGAAGGUAGAUUCAGGAAGUGGAAGAUCAUAUAGAGUAUUGGAAAAAAUAAAAUGGACAACCCCAAACAGCCAUUUAUAAAAGGCAUUGCAUCGGAGAUGAUAUAAAAUUUAUGAAUGAAUUGUAUAAUAUGUUUAUUUUGAUGACAGAAGAUUCAAAUUCCAUAGUUUUUUUUAGAGUGGUUGAUAUUCGCUUCAAAAUUAUAUAUUUUACCUAGAUUUUUCUAGAGAAUCCUUAAUGGUUUGGUCUUAUUUUCACAAGCUCCAAACAUUUUCUAGUGUAAAUGUAUAUUUUAUAAGAAAAAAUGAAAGUGUACAAAAUAUAAACAUAAUAUUAUAUAUUAUUAUACAAGGUGUCCCGUAAAGACCACGUCAAAC